CAAAAAGAUAAGGGCUCAAAGCUGACCCCUGAUGCAGUCCUAUCUUAAUCGGGAAGUCAUCGGUGUCGACAUCACUUGUUCGAACACUUGUCACAUCAGCAUUCUUAAAAAAAUCGUGUGAACCUACUCUCUAAAAACCGAAGAGGCCCGUUGAUAUUUAUGUAACCGAAGAGUGGAAGUCCGACAGGAGCACACGCCGGGCCGGAUCCCAUUACUUCUCCGCUUCAGUUCCAUGGCUCCACCACUUCCUUUCCCACAGCCCGUCGCUUCGUGCAUCUUCUCCAAUAUCCAAGCUCCAUGGCUGCAACAACCAGUGCGUCAAGCCUACCCUGCCACCGCCCCGUCCAUGUGCACCGUUUUCACCUGUGGCCGGCCCGCCUCGCCGCCGAGAGCAAACCGCCAGAUAGCCUGUGCUCUAGCUUCCUCAGGGCCCUCCUCGCCAUCGCACAUGGCGCAGCUCUGGUGUUGGUCCUUCACUGGAGCGCUGAUGUUCUCCAACAAAUUCUACAUCCACGGGAGCCAAUAGUCUAAUGGCAAGGAGGAUGGACGAGGGCUCUCAAUCUGAUUCUAAUCUGCGAUGUCAACAAGAUUAAAUCAGCUUUACGAAGAGAGAUUACCUCUAAACAACACAGAAACUAAAAUGCAGGGAAACUAAUUAAAGGAGGAAGACACUCCAAUAGGUGCUCCUGUCUAGAGUUUGGAACCAUUGGCUGAAUGAUACUACGGGCCUCUGAAAAACUAUUUAAGAUUGGUUUUCACUUUCACAUUUUUGAUGUUACUGCAUGCCAUUGGGAGCAAAUUCCAGUUACAAGUGCCUGCAGCAAGUAGGGUAUUGUUUUUUAUUAGUAGGCGGAUAUGUGUUUACUCUAUUGAGGCGGAGCGUAGGAGACUAUCCAUUUUGCUACCGGAAUCUCGGUAUGUCUUUGCUCUCUUUUUCUAUUUUUUCUUUCUUCCGAUUAACUGCAAUUCACGUCAAUGAAACAUGCCAUCUUACUGUUCACAUUCUAUAUUCUGGGUUGUGAUAUUGAUGGGUUCUCUUUCUUUCGCAAUACUACACGAGAAUAGCAUAUUUAAGUUCAGAUAUGCACAUGGCAGAAACAUUUGCUUUUUAGUUUUCUGCAGUAAUUACUGUGAUGAAACAUGCCAUUUUAUUCUCUUAUGUUUGAGUCCAAAUCAAUUGUGAACAUGCUACUUUCAUACUUAUCAUGUACCGUGCUAGAAGGAUCCAACCCAAUUGUUUUUUUUACUCAUGUAAAAUGGAAGAGAAAAUAUUUUUUUGGUGGUUUUGAUCACCUGGGAGGUUUACUCUAGGGUGAAAAGGCUCCAUUUCUUUUUUCUGAGCCAAGUAUCAUAUAAAUUUGCUACCUACAUGUUCAGUCGAAUACUGAAAAGAAUAAAUUUAUGGAUUACUCCGACCUGAAAACCUUAAAUCUUGCAAGAAAUCUACAUCACACCGAAAUCUUGAUAGAGUUGCAAACUGCCAUUUUCUUAGGUCAACCUUUUCCUGUUCUAGCUAUAAUGUUCCAUGUAUAUACACUAGGUGAAAUUAGGCAUUUAUGCUAUUGACAACAAGACAUAUUUAACUACAUCUUAAGAUUUCAGACCCGUCGUAACUUCACUUGCACCCAACACCAUGUAUCAUAUAUAUAGUUAUAUACUCAUAGAAAUGAGUAUACCACUAGACCAUGUCAAACACAAAUGCUUUGUUAAAUUUCAUUUUCUGUAUUUAUCAUUUUUGUAUGCAGAAGGAGUCAUGUCGAUUAGAAUACAAUCCAGCAUAUGCUCUUGCUGAGCAUUUGGAAUCAUUGGCUUAAUGAACUACUGUCCUCCCAAUAACUAUUUAUGAUUGGAUUAGAGCUUUUAUAAAUUUUAUAUUACUGCUUCUGGAGCAAAUUCUCAUUUAUAAAUUUCCAAAAAAGGAGUUGUUUUUAAUGGUAGACAGGGUGUCUCUUCACUCUCCUGAGGAUGAGCAUCUGAGAUUAUCCUGUUGGGAUUAUCGACCGGAAUCUUGGUAUGUGUUUGCUCGCUUCUUCUAUAGGAUUCCUUUAGAUGAACCGACAGUGCACAACAAUGUAUAGAACAGAUUCCAAUUAUCAAUUAUAUCCCCCUGUUUCUAUAUCUAAUUAAUAAUAUUCUUUUUGCCAGGUUAUUCUCUUCCUAAAUAGCGCUACAAAUUCCCGCAGCAACGCGCGGGGCAUCAUCUAGUUUCGUUAAUGUGUGUGACAUACAGUGUAGUACUUGCUUAUUUCAUUGAAGCAGUGACAUAAUUGCUUGGUAGAGCUAAUUUAUUCUCUGAUAUAUUAUGCUAAAAGUGGUAAAUUUACCUCCUGCCAUGUUUUCUCCGGGGAUUGUGGCAUGCACCUCCGGUUCGUCUAAUUUAUGCACGGAGAACUUUGUCUUUGUUCAAAUUGUGGGUUCAUGGCAAGAGAUUGAUCCAGAUGAGUACUCAUACGAGG